UACAGAGGUCCCAAGCGUUGUUCGGAUUCAUUGGGCGUAAAGGGUGCGUAGGUGGCGCCGUAAGUCGGGUGUGAAAUUUCGGAGCUUAACUCCGAAACUGCAUUCGAUACUGCCGUGCUUGAGGACUGGAGAGGAGACUGGAAUUCCUGGUGUAGCGGUGAAAUGCGCAGAUAUCAGGAGGAACACCGGUGGCGAAGGCGGGUCUCUGGGCCGAUACUGACGCUGGAGGAGCGAAAGCGUGGGGAGCGAACAGG
rnacentral:rRNA from 1 species